AGAAGAAGAAGAAGAAGUAGAGGGAGUCGGGGGUUCGAGGAGAAGAAGAUCGCUGCUCCGCUUGAAGUGACUCCAAACACCGCUGCAGGAGCGCUCAAAGUCCGGCCGCUUCAAACUCCGUCUCCCGUCGUCAUGCGCCUCGGCUUUUAAAAAAGCGUCCCGGCUGCUGCUUCUGCUGCUCGGGAGAGGACAAAUCCACCUUACAUCUGGUGAUCUUUUUUUUUUUUUUUUUAAAAUAACAACAAAAAGCAAUUGGCAGAGUUUUGCGCCCGUCCGGCAGAGUUGUGAGCAGGCGGUGGACACUUCUCCAGGUUUCGGGACUGCGCCGCAUACCAGCCCGGAGCGCAGCGCUCGGGAGUCGGACACAGGGCGCUCCGUCUCUCCACUCCGCUCCCGCUCCGUUCAAAGAUUCUUGUCUCUUUCCUCGUUGUUACCUCGUACACCGGUACAUCAGUAAUGCUCAGCGAGAACUGCUUUCAUUUGAGCUAAAGGGAUAAACACAAACACAUCGCGCGUUUCUCUCCGACUGGAUUUGGAUUUAAGUCCUUUUUUGGCUGCGACCAUGAGUGGAUGGUGGAUAUUUGUUGGCACUCUGGUCGGGAUCCUCACCGUCACCAGUGGGAUACAUGGAGCUUGUAUCUACGGUGGAUCGCUAUAUGCGACAGAAGCAGAAGCCAAGGGAGGUGGUGUUUGGCUGAUGUUCCACAUCCGCACUAAAUCACUCACCAGUCAGCUGUCUCCCAGCUCCAGCCCUGUAACCCGGUGACUCAGAUCAGUCCCACAGGAGGUUGUGCACAGAGGAGCCUGUAUCUUCUGGGUGAAAACAGAGGUCUUAAAUGACAUCACCCUCGGGUCAUCCUAAACAUCCCAACUUUGUCAGCUUGGUUACUUAUGUCAUGGUUGCCACUGGAGAAAGAAACUCUCAAAUUCUUUACUUGGAGAGCAGGUGUUAGAGAAGCAGGAAUGCUCUCAUCUUAAGAUUCUGUAGUUAGAGAUUUUGAGUAAACUGUUGCUCAGCACUUGCCCAGUGAGGGUCAGCUCAGUCUGUAAAGGUUUUAUAUAUAUUUUUAUAUGUAUACAUGUAAUAUAAUAAUAAUAAAAUAUAAUAAAUAAUAUAAGUAAAAUGUAUCAUCUUGCAAACUGGAACCCAUGCCACCCGUGUUUUUUUGCCCACCUGCUAAACAGUAUGAAGCUGUGGGGCUUGUGGGUAAAAUGUUCUACAUGAAUACUGACGUAUUUCAAUAACUCAAGACGUCCUGCUGCGGUGUAGUGUGCCAUCAGGGCUGACACGCUGCUGAAAUACAGCAUAUCGCCCUCAGUGAAGGACAGCAGGGCUCGGCAACAUGCAGCUCCAUGUCCAAAUAUAUCACCUGCCCCUCAAGGCUUGAAUUCCUGGCAUUGCAAGUCGUCAUUUCUGUAGGAAUCAAAAUGUAGGGCACCUCGAGAGGACGAAGGUCCAGGCAGUAACACCAGGCUUUACAAAGUAUCAGGGCUGGGAUUUAACCUGAACAGAACUGAAGCAGUGUUUGGAGUUUAUUGCAUUGGUACCAGUCCAAACCCCUCGAUCCCACCAGCUCUUCGGUUCACUCUUUACAAUAUGUGUCAGGAUGGGUCGGGCGUCGUUGACGCGGAAAUAUACUGAACCCCGAUGCAGAGUCAGAAAGGGGCAGGCAGGCGUGGUGGAGGUCCAAAAACAAUUGUCUUUUAUUCAAACAAGCAAAAUCAAAAACACACACUUACUGUGGCAUAGGAUGAACAAAAAGACCGUGGCAAAAACUCCAGGCAAAAUCAUGGCAUGGCAAAACUUAUCAAGGCAAGGCAGAUAGAUCCUGACAUGACAUGGGGAAACCGCAGACAUACAUGAAAAGACGCAACGCUCUGACCAACAGUGACUGGGAAGACAAGGACUAAAUAGACAUGAUAACAAGACACAGGUGACACACAUCUGGAGGGAGAAAGUAAUCAAGAAAACUUAAAGCAA